rnacentral:rRNA from 1 species
UACAGAGGUCUCAAGCGUUGUUCGGAUUCAUUGGGCGUAAAGGGUGCGUAGGUGGCGCCGUAAGUCAGGUGUGAAAUUUCGGAGCUUAACUCCGAAACUGCAUUUGAUACUGCGGUGCUUGAGGACUGGAGAGGAGACUGGAAUUUACGGUGUAGCAGUGAAAUGCGUAGAGAUCGUAAGGAAGACCAGUGGCGAAGGCGGGUCUCUGGACAGUUCCUGACACUGAGGCACGAAAGCUAGGGGAGCAAACAGG